CUCUACUAAAAAUACAAAAUUAGGCCGGGCAUGGUGGCGCAUGCCUGUAAUCCCAGCAACUCGGGAGGCUGAGGCAGGAGAAUUGCUUGAACCCAGGAGGCGGAAGUUGUGGUGAGCAGAGAUUGCGCCAUUGCACUCCAGCCUGGGCAACAAGAGCGAAACUCUGUCUCAAAAAAACAAAACAAAACAAAAGAGUAGCAACCUAGGCCGGGCGCAGUGGCUCACGUCUGUAAUCCCAACACUUUGGAAGGCUGAGGAGGGUGGAUCACCUGAGGUCAGGAGUUCGAGACCAGCCUGGCCAACAUGGUGAAACCCCGUCUCUACUAAAAAUACAAAAAUUAGCCGGGCGUGGUGGUGGGCGCCUGUAAUCCCAGCUACUUGGAAGGCUGAGGCAGGAGAAUUGCUUGAACGCAGGAGGCGGAGGUUGCAGUGAAUGUAGAUCGAGCCACUGCACUCCAGCCUGGGCGAUAGAGCGAGACUCCGUCUCAAACAAAUAAACAAAAAGACUAGCAACCUCCUCUCCAGCAAUGCCAACCCCAGUCCAGGCCCCCAUCCGCCCAGGAUCUCGAUCAAAAAACAUUAAUCUGUGGCCUUUCUUUGCCAUUUCCAACUCUGCCACCUCCAUCAAACGACAAGGUCCCCUUCUUCCUUUCCAUUCCCGUCAGCUUCAUUUCCCUAAUCUCCGUACAAAUCCCUAGCCUGACUCCCUUUCCUUUCCAUCCUCACCAGAAGCCCGCAUGCCGGACCUCAAAAGCGCAAACGCUAAAAACCGGUUGAGUUGACGCACGGAGAGAAGGGGUGUGUGGGUGGGUGUGUGUGUGUUAGUGUGUGUGCUUGUGUGUGGAAGAAACCAACAGGGUUCACGCUGGUGUCCAUUUCUGGAAAUGCCAAUCGCGCCCAACUGCGGGAGCCAGGAUCAGGUCCCCAGGGCGCCCUUGCAGACAGCACCCUGAGCGAAGGAGCUCAGAAGGCAGUCCGGCUUCACCCAGACCCCCAAUCCCACAGAAGCCCCGUACCCCAGCGGCACAGCAGCCCCUCCCCGGCGCGGUGGUAGGGCCCGACGCGACGUCACCCAUUGUUUACAAAUCAACCCGAGCCGGCAGGAUUCCGGCUCCCGCGGCUACAGGCGCGCGGCUCGAGUGCCUGGCGGGCUCCGGCUUCCGCGUCCGCCCGGCCCCGGUCCGGACUUAGUCUUCAGCUCCGCGCCCGCUCCGCCGCGGCCCACCGCGCCCGCCGGUAGCCGAGCCCCCAGCGACGCCCGCACAGCUCCAGGUCACUGUUUCCUGGGCACGCACCGGGUUGCGGGACAGAGUCGCCGGGUUCUGCCCAUGCUCGGAGAAGAGCGCAGUGUUUUCCAAGUGCUGGAGUCUCCUGAGGACACGCGCGCCGCCGCCACCGCGGGUGUGGGAAAGCGCGGACGUGCUGGGCGUCUGUGCUUCGCUCAGAUGCAGAAACCUGGAGCGAAGAUCAGACACCACUUUCCUAUCUAGCAAAGUCUGUGUUGAAACCUGUGAUCCCUUCCUUCCAAUCAGGAAAGAGUUACCUUGGCAACGAAAUUACUAACUCACUCAAUUAGCCCCCACUUCUACCAAUGCUCAGUAAUCACAGACCGUCGGCCCCCGGAGAGCUCAGCUUUCAGCAGUCUGGUGCUACCGCCUCAUGUAGAGAUGGAAGCUCAGAGAGGUUUCCACUCCGAGGUGCACUCCAUUUGAACACUGUGAAAGCUGGUGCAGGCAAAGGGGCAAAACUCUUCUGAGUAGUGUUUCCCCCUGAUUUUCCAUCAUAACUGAAGGGACAGCAAUUGACCUGCCCCUACCAGUGUUACCCAAAAGAUAUAACAGGUAAGAGUGGGGGCUCUGCAGGCAGCCCUCCACUGUCGGCUGUGUGAUAUGGGACAGGGUCAGUAAGCUCAAUGAACUCAUUUGCAAAAUGUGGGUAAGAGUAGAGCACCUUGAAGAGCUGUGUGAAAAUUAAAUUAGAACCAAAGAGCAAAUAGUAUGGGAACCAAAGAGCAAAUAAUAAACAAAACAGAACAUUGUUCCUGAGAGAUGUUGCAUUAAGGCCACUUCUUUGAGUCUUCUGCAGAAAACCCUGCCUCUUACUGACUUCUUCAAUAUUUCUUAACAGGCACAAACCUGUUUCUUCUGAAGGUCAGACCAGUUUCCCGAUCAUGCACCCCAGUUGCAUAGGUGGGUGUUAAGGGAAGUGUAGAAGAAGGGAAUAAGGGUGGAGGCGGCCGGGUGUGGUGGCUCACACCUGUAAUCUCAACAAUUUGGUAAACCCAGCCAGGCGGAUCAUGUGAGGUCAGGAGUUCGCAACCAGCCUGGCCAAAAUGGUGAAACCUCGUCUCUACUAAAAAUACAAAAAUUAGCUGGGCGUGGUGGUGCAUGCUACUCGGGAGGCUGAGGCAGAAUUGCUUGAACUCAGGAGGCGGAGGUUACAGUGAGCCGAGAUCACGCCACCACACUCCAGCAUGGGCAUCUAAAAAGAGAGAGAGAAAAAUAGGGUGGAGCCAAGCUAAGCCUGCAAAGCAGCUCAGGGUUGGAACUGGUGGAAUAGAGGCAACAGGAAUAUCACA
ensembl:lncRNA